UAGAGUGCGGCGCACUGACAUCGAGGGGGGGGGGGGGGGGAUAAAAAAAUAAAGUGACCCAAGGGGGGGGGGGGGAAAUAUAUAAUAAAAACAAUUCUACACAUAAAAGAAAUAAACUGGUGUCCCCUAAAGAAUUAGUAAAAACAGUGAAAAUAAAUAUUGGAGACUUAAGUUUUAUACUUUAAUGUGGUAAAUAAUACAAAGUAACUUAAACGGCGUAAUAUAGAUCAAAAGGAAAAUAAAAUAAAAUAGUAAAGAGCAUUCUUUUGAAACAUUUAAUAUCAGUCCAUAGCAAAUAGUCAUUACAUACCAAAAAGCUCUAAGUGUUAACUAGAUCCACCACAACUCCAGACAAAUCUCCACAACUUUAAAAUCUGAGAUCAAUGAAACGUUUAUUCGUCUUGAUCCCUGCAGCUUGGUUCGUAAUGCUUGAUGGUCUUUUUGUUUUUUCCAAAACUUUUUUUUUUUUCCCCCCCCUAAAACCUUUAGUCAUUUUUUUCAACUUUUUAAUUUUUAUUAUUUGUUUUUAAUUUUUUUUUUUUUUCAAGAUGCCAUUUGUCUGCAUCAGACCUUAAUACUAAACAUAUGAUUUUUUUUUUUUUUUUAUCCGGACCCAGGAGGGCGGAAAAAAAAAAAAUAAAAAAAAGUAAAUGAAAAAGUAAAAAUACAAAAAAAAAAAAUUAUUUUUUAAAAUAAAAGAAAAAAAAAAAAAAUGGUGUCGUAUGUAAAUUUUAGACUUAUAAAAAUAUAGUGGAGCCGUGAAACGCGGCACUGACCGUGCCGGAAGCUGUUGUUGGUUCCUUUGAUUUUUUUUUUUAAUGUAUUUAUUUUUAUUUAUUUUUUAAAUUAUUAUUAUUGCACAGAAAUUUUUACUGACUUUGGCGGGUCAGUCUCAUCCACAUUAUUCGGGAUGUCAAGGAAAAGGAGCAGGAUUUGGCAAGUUGUAAUGGCGGCUUUGUGUCCGACGUAGGGAGAGAAAAAAAUAUAUAUAUAAAAUGAUCGCUAAAUUGCAUCUGGGUAAAAGUCCUGUAAAAUUUCCAUAUUUAACCUGUGAGAUAGGGCCCCAAAAAGACAAAACAAAUACAAAAAAAAAAACAAAAAAAACAUAACCCUAAUCUAAAAAGGAAAGAGCGCAAUUUCUGUAACUAGAUUCAGGUUAUAUUUUGAUAUUUCGGGGGGGGGGGGGAAAUCACUUUAGAUUUAAAUUUAUUAAUUUUUUGGGAGCUGCCCAAAAUAGUUCACUUGUCUUGACCAGGGGCAGAAGAGACAUCUUAGUUGAACGUAAUACAGCAUUCGAUUACUUCUUUCGGAAACAGCGCCCCCCUUGUGCUCAGUUUUUUGGGUGGUAUUGCAGCUCAGUUCCAUUAAACAUAAAGGGUUACUCCAGUGGAAAACUUUAUUUUUUUUAAUCAACUGGUGCCAGAGAGUUAAACAGAUUUGUAAAUUACUUCUAUUAAAUAAAAAUAUUUUUUUUUUUAAUCUUUCCAGUACUUAUUUGCUGCUAAAUACUACAGAGGAAAAAUUAUUUUCUUUUUGGAACACAGUGCUCUCUGCUGACAUCUCCUGUCCAUUUUAGGAACUGUCCAGAGUAGGAGAAAAUCCCCAUAGCAAACCUAUGCUGCUCUGGUCAGUUCUCAAAAUGGACAGAGAUGUCAGCAGAGAGCGCUGUGGUCGUGAUGUCAGCAGAGAGCUCCGUGUUCCAAAAAGUAAAGAAUUUCCUCUGCAGUAUUCAGCAGCUAAUAAGUACUGGAAGGAUUAAGAUUUUUUUAAUAGAAGUAAUUUACAAAUCUGUUUAACUUUCUGGCACCAGUUGAUUUAAAAAAAAAAAAAGUUCCACCGGAGUACCCCUUCAAAAGGGGUACUCCAGCUUUCGGAACAGUUUUUUUUUUCUCAAAAAGCUGAACAGCGGAGUCGGGAGCUCGUGACGUCUUCGCCCCGCCCCCUCAAUGAAAGUCUAUGGAAAUGGGGCAUGGCGGCUGUCACGCCCCCUCCCAUAGACUUGCAUUGAGGGGGUGGGGCUAUGACAUCACGAGCUCCCAGCUCCAGCGGCUGGAACAGCCGAGUACCCCUUUAAUGGAGCGGAGUUGUAGUACCAGGAAUAGCCUGAGGACAGGUGUGGCGCCAUUUCUGGAAGAAAUCAGCUAGGUUAUCCAGCAUUAGAAAAACAUAAGGCAGUGCUUCCCAACCAGUGCGCCUCCAGCUGUUGCAUAACUACAACUCCUAGCAUGCUCGGACAGCCAGCAGUUGUAGUUUAGCAACAGUUGGUUGGGAAACACUGAGCGACGGAUUAUUAUCCUUGUGGAUUUUUUUUUCUGCACAAUGUGAAUCCGCCCCUAAAUAAAACUUUGUGAUAAACCUAAAUUAUUUAUUUUAUUAUUUUAUUUUUAUCAUAACAAAUACAGCACGUUCUCCUCUUAAGGACCUUGUAUAAUUAGUCGCUUGUCAUUUCAGGAGAUUUAUCUUAAUUUUAUUCCGUCCCUCUUAGAGACUGUCCAAGAUUAUACAAAAAAAAAAAAACAGUUUUCUUGCAUAAACAGCACCACUCCCGUCCACAGGUUGUGUCUGGUAUUGCAGCUCGGCUCCAUUGAAGUGAAUGGGACUGGGCUGCAGUACCGCACGCAACCUGUGGACAAGAGUGGUGCUGUUUUUGCAAAACGAAGCAGCGUUUUUUUCCCUAAUCCUGGACAGCCCCUCUAUCGUCAUCUUAUCUGGGGUGUAUAUAUACCCAGCAUGCACUGCUUCCAACGCAAACUAGAGGAGAGGAUUUAUCGAUAGUCCUUAUACAAGGAUGGAGCAUGUUCCGCAACAGUGGUCAGCAAAAUGGGUUGCAUUUAAUUAGACAAAAAAAUAAAAAAUUUAUAAAAAAAAAUAAAUAAAUUAUAAAAUAAAAUAGCCCAGUUAUCCAGAGGCAGGUACUGCAGCUCAUCUGAACGGUGCAAUACCACGUGGGGCACAUAGGUGGCGCUGUUUCUUAAAGGUAAAUCACAGAUUACUUGGAGCCAAGUAAAGGUAAAUCACAGAUUACGAUCAGAUGGAGCCAAGUAAUCUGCGAUUUACCUUUACGAUCAGAUGGAGCCAAGUAAAGGUAAAUCACAGAUUACGAUCAGAUGGCUCCAAGUAAAGGUAAAUCACAGAGUACGAUCAGAUGGAGCCAAGUAAAGGUAAAUCACAGAUUACGAUCAGAUGGCUCCAAGUAAAGGUAAAUCACAGAUUACGAUCAGAUGGCUCCAAGUAAAGGUAAAUCACAGAUUACGAUCAGAUGGCUCCAAGUAAAGGUAAAUCACAGAUUACGAUCAGAUGGAGCCAAGUAAAGGUAAAUCACAGAUUACGAUCAGAUGAUGAUCGCAGAUCAGAUACAAUACAUCAGAUAUAUAAAAUGAAAACCAAACACACUGCAGAUCUAAAUGCGGUGAACCUAUGGCCACUUGUCUUCUAUGGUUGCAGAAGAAAAAAAAAAAAAAAAAAACCACGCAAGGUGCGACGCCAUGCAAAGCCUUGGGUAUAUUCUCCAAAUAAGAGGCGGGCGCUGCCUGUGGUAUUGCAUAGAUUAGAUAUGUGUAACACAAAUGCACAGUCAGUAUCUGCGUCCCCCUUUACAUCUGGAGGGACCCGGCCAAAGGGGAUGGAUGUUAUAUGGACCAUACGUUCAUUACGCCGCCAUUUUGUUUUGCGCAUAACCUGCAUUAACAUAACACUUCCCAUGGUCGCGUCUUUAGAAAACAUAAAUCAGCGUUUUCCCAAGCAGGGUCCCUCCAGCUGUUGCAAAACUACAACUCCCAGCAUGCCCGGACAGCCAACGGCUGUCCGGGCAUGCUGGGAGUUGUAGUUUUGCAACAGCAGUUGGAAAACACUGACCUAUCUGAAUACCUAUAGGGCUCCCACUUACCAAUCGACAAAGUGUGUUAUCCAGGAUUAGAAAACCAGAUGAUUUCUUUCAGAAACGGCGCCACUCUUGCCCUCAGGUUAUGUGCGGUAUUACAGCUCAUUUUAAAAAAAGGGGUACUCCGGUGAAAAACUUAUUUUUAUUAUUAUUUUUUUAAUCAACUGGUGCCAGAUGGUUAAAUAGAUUUGUAAGUUACUUCUAUUAAAAAAUAUUUAUCCUUCCAGUACUUUUUAGCAGCUGUAAGCUACAGAGGAAAUUCUUUACUUUUUUUGUCUUGUCCACAGUGCUCUCUGCUGACACCUCUGUCCGUGUCAGGAACUGUCCAGAGCAGCAUAGGAUUGUUAUGGGGUUUUUCUCCUACUCAGCUGACACCUGAUUCCUGUAUAAGGGACUAUCCAGAGAGCACUACGGUCAGACAGAAAAGAAAUUAA